rnacentral:rRNA from 1 species
GCAACUCGACUACAUGAAGCUGGAAUCGCUGUAAUCGCAGAUCAGAAUGCUGCGGUGAAUACGUUCCCGGGUCUUGUACACACCGCCCGUCACACCAUGGGAGUCGGAAAUGCCCGAAGCCGGUGACCCAACCAAAAGGAGGGAGCCGUCGAAGGCAGGUCUGAUAACUGGGGUGAAGUCGUAACAAGGUAGC